rnacentral:lncRNA from 1 species
CUCCACCUUUAUUCACAAUAACAAUCACCAAAUAACAGAAUCAAAAAAAAAUUCUCCUAACAUGUGCUUUUGGCCCUUUAAGUUAGCCUUUUAAAUUGCCCAUUUAAUGAUUAAAUCCCCCUUAUGCCCAACAAGAGUCAGAGUUCCAUGUUCCAGGACCUUGGAGAGCAACCAGGUGCUGGGAAGGACAAUGGAAUGUUGCAAGAUGACCUAACUGUCAGCUGCUAUAAACUACUUUUAAUCUGAUCUGUCCUAGGCAAAUUUCUGUGUAUUCUCCUAUCUGGCUUGCCAACUGAAAUAGUGAAGCAGCAGUAAUGAAGUGAAUAAGGCUAUGGAUCUGAAGUCAUGAAAUUGCUUGCUAAAAAAAGAUGCACUAGCAAUCUGGUCUCAGUGUUCUCAUGCAAUGAUGAAAUAAAAAAAAAAGUCAAACAUCUGAUUGCCUCUCUGAACCACUUGGGCAAACCCCAAAUUAUAAAGAAUGGUUUGGAACCAUUUAAAGGAUGUCCCAACUCUGCCUGAAUCCUGAGAUGCCUUUGUAAAAAGACAGAAUUCACAGCUGUUAAUCAUGUGACCAGAGCAACAGGCCAGGGAAAUCACAGGAAAAGAGGAUAUGCAGUAAGUAGCCUAGAAGAAAAUACAACAAUCUGAACAAAGUUGGAAGCAGUAAAUUUUCUUCAAGUUGCUGAAGACAGUUCAAUUUGCAAAAGCCUUGGAAGUAUUUCUCAGACUAGAAUAAAAGACAUCAAAACAAAUACGAAUAGGAAAAU